GAACUCGUUUGACUAUUCGGGCUGGCUCGGGGUGUAUCCCACCUCAGCCUCCCAACUAUGUUGGGGGGAAAUCCCAAUGGGGUCUCCUCCUGAUAAACAACAAACCCCGGCGCCUGACGCGUCAAGGAAAUGAAAUUGUUAGCUGCACUCUUGUCGGCCCGGAUACGGUGCUCGUGCAAGAGUUGCCAUGACACAUUCUAUACAUAAAAUGACUCUCGGCAACGGAUAUCUCGGCUCUCGCAUCGAUGAAGAACGUAGCGAAAUGCGAUACUUGGUGUGAAUUGCAGAAUCCCGUGAACCAUCGAGUCUUUGAACGCAAGUUGCGCCCGAAGCCAUUAGGUUGAGGGCACGUCUGCCUGGGUGUCACACAUCGUUGCCCCAACGCCAAAACGCCUCGUGCUAUGCGGCGUGUGGGGUGAAUGUUGGCCUCCCGCGAGCCCAGGCUCACGGUUGGCUUAAAAUUGGGUCCAUGGUACGGUGUUCCAUGAUGUUUGGUGGCUGAGUAACCCUCGAGACCAUUCAUGGGAGACCUUAUCUUUGCUUCGGCCCUAGAGACCCACAUGCGUGGUGUAACCAUGCUCACAAUGAGACCUCAGGUCAGGCGGGGCUACCCGCUGAGUUUAAGCAUAUCAA
rnacentral:rRNA from 1 species